AAAUGAAUAGACGGGGACCCACACAAGCAGUGGAUCAUGUUGUUUAAUUCGUAAGCAAACGAGAAAUCUCACCUAGGCUUGACAUCUAACAAAUUUUCCGGAAACGGAGAAGUGCCCGUAAGGGAAUGUUAAGACAGGCGAUGCAUGGUUGUCGUCAGCUCGUGCUUUGAGGUGUUCGGUUAAGUCCGUUAACGAGCGCAACCCAUAUCGUUAGUUACUAUGUCUAAUGAGACUGCCUGAGUUAAUCAGGAGGAAGAUGUGGAUGACGUCAAAUCAGCAUGUCCCUUAUGCCUAGGGCCACAAACAUGAUACAAUGGUUGGUACAAAGAGUAGCAAUAUGGUAACAUUGAGCUAAUCUCAAAAGCCAAUCUCAGUCCGGAUUGAGAUCUGAAACUCGAUCUCAUGAAGUUGGAAUUGCUAGUAAUCGUGAAUCAGACAUGUCACGGUGAAUAUGUUCCUGGGUCUUGUACACACCGCCCGU
rnacentral:rRNA from 1 species